UUGAACGCUGGCGGCAGGCCUAACACAUGCAAGUCGAGCGCGAAAGGUUUUCGGACUGAGUAAAGCGGCGGACGGGUGAGUAACGCGUGGGAAUCUGCCCAGUAGUGGGGGACAACAGUCGGAAACGACUGCUAAUACCGCAUACGCCCUACGGGGGAAAGGGGGGGAUCUUCGGACCUCUCGCUAUUGGAUGAGCCCGCGUCGGAUUGGCUAGUUGGUAGGGUAAAGGCCUACCAAGGCUACGAUCCGUAACUGGUCUGAGAGGAUGAUCAGUCACACCGGAACUGAGACACGGUCCAGACUCCUACGGGAGGCAGCAGUGGGGAAUAUUGGACAAUGGGGGCAACCCUGAUCCAGCCAUGCCGCGUGUGUGAAGAAGGCCUUAGGGUUGUAAAGCACUUUCAGUGGGGGGAAAGGUUUGUCACCUAAUACGUGAUAAAAUUGAUGUUACCCACAGAAGAAGCACCGGCUAACUCCGUGCCAGCCGCCGCGGUAA
rnacentral:rRNA from 1 species